UUUGAUCGACCCCAACCACAGCGGCUGCCCCGACUCGCCGCGGUCCUGCCCGUAGGUCGCCAGCAGCGCCUGCGCCUC
rnacentral:antisense_RNA from 1 species